AUGGAAAAGUUUAGAAAUGGUGUGGGGGAUGACUUCUUCCGGAGACAACUUCAUACAUCACCGUUAGAUCAAUGGAAUGAGCUUAAUACCACUGUUAACUCCUGGGUGUUGUCGGAGGAACCUGAUCAAGUGGUUUGGAACCUGGGCAAGAAGAAUUUUUUUACAACCAGAUCAGUUUAUGACUAUCUGGAGAGAAACAUAGCAGAAUGUAACUAUAGGUGGAUUUGGCAGGCAAAAAUCCCUCUGAAAAUUCAAAUUUUCCUGUGGCAAACCUUCCAGGAUGUUAUCUUGACUAGAGAUGUCAUGAGUAGAAGACGAUGGGCUGGCACCUAA
rnacentral:rRNA from 1 species